GCAACCUGUGCUGGUGCCUCACCACCCUUACUGCAAAAAACUUUCCUCUUAUAUCCAGUCUAAAUCUCCUCUCUUUUAGUUUGAAACCAUUUCCUCUUGUGCUCCUGCUCUGCUGGAUCCCUUUCCCCCUGAAUUAAAAGGAUUACAGCUUCAUCUCAGCAAUCAAUAAACAGGUCUUAAACGCAGCAGAGUGAGUUACGCUCUUACAGCAGAACAGUAUCUGUUUACCAAUAAAUGCCUGAGGUUUAUCUAUCACCGAGCUGGUUUUGCAUGCUGCAUAGGCAUGAUUCACCAUGUGUUUGGAGGGUAUGUAACUGCAGCUGACGUGCUGGUGACGUCUGCUGCACCAACGUCACUGCGAGCUCAGAGCACAUCUCCCCACACACGCUGCAGCGGAGCAGAUGCGUGCACAGAGGACAGGGACAGCAGUCAAACACAAGGAGGGGCUGGCUACACCUGUAAGUGGUUUGUCAUCCUUGGCAAAUAUUUGCUCAUUGGCAAAGCAGGUACCUUGCCAGACCUCAUCUCUUCCAAGGGGAGAAAACAACACACUUGGAAAAAAAGAGCUUACGUAAUGUCUGCCGUGAGUAUGCAGAGAAUGCGUAUGUCCUGUUGCCCAUCUGCAUGCACCAGAACUCAUAUCUGGGGGAUGGCAAGUGGGCUUUAGGACACUUGACUUCUCUGCAUUUGAAAGAGAAUGAGCAGCUCAGGCCCUUCCACCAGGAGUUAGCUCAUCUCCCAGAACUCUGCCAUCCUCCCCACAGUAAGAAGGCUGGAAGGAUGAGAUAAUGCUAGAAGUUGUUUAGAAGAUGACAUUACAUGACCAUUAAGUAUUGAUACCAUUCAAGUUACCAAGUUUUGGCAAUACCCUUUGAAUGCCAUGCAUACAGCAGUGCCUACAACACUGUACUGUUCUUACCCACUGAGGCUGAACGAAACUUCUCAUGUAGACUGGCUUAGCUGACGCACUGUAAUAUAGUUAAUAAACUUUACUGGAGAGUGGGAUUUAUGCAGUAUGAGAGGGUCUCGGUGUCCUUGAUUUGCAGCCAUCUGUCUGAUAGGAAAGUGCCCUUGUGUAACUGAAGCCAGACCAGCAGGUAGGGCAGGUACUAGUUGAGUUAGCACAUGGAUAACUUCAUUUUUCUCAACAAUGAUGGCGUCACCAUUCUUGGUCACCAUCAACACUAUCAGAAACAUUUACAGUAAGAGCAGAUUUUUGCCUACCUGUUCCAGGAAUAUAAUUACAAGAGCAAAGAAAAGACCUACAAGACGUAAGAAGAAAAGCCAUGCCAAAAUGAGGAGACUGCCUUGUCCAGUGAGAGGUGAUGAUGGUCACAACAGAACACAAUGAUCAUGCUGCAGUCUGCAACAGAGCUAGCGCUGCUGAAAGCAAUUCGAGUUCCAUGUUCUACUGAUUGCCACAGCUACGCCUGAGCUUCUGCACACCUAAGAUACAGGAAUCAGGAAGAAGAGCAUGACUGAGGGUUCUUUAAAAUUUCCAGUAUUGGAGACUCCUGAAAAUUCCAAGCAAUCCUUUCCAGAGCGUCCUGCCCUCCUGUUUGAUACUUGAGAACAAAGGGGAGAACAAUGCUGAAAGACCAUUUUGCACAUCUUGCCCAGAUGGAUACACCUUCUGGCAUGUGGGACCACGCCGUCUGUCUUGCUGGUUUUGAGGUGCAGAUUCACUUUAUUUUGUUUGUGUUUUUGUUUCUUUUGGUGGGUGCAGGGGCAGCAAAUGGUGUCUGUCCAUUACAGCUGUCUUUGCUGAGCAUGCUAGGAUCUAGCACAGUUCAAAGAAAGCUUGUGUAUUACCACAUGUGAGUGGCUGAGUCAAACCCUCAAAAUUUGGAUGCAUGGUUCAGUAGUCUCUGGGUUAAUGCUUUCUUUUGAAAACUCAGUUUGGAGCAGAUCAGGCAGUUUCAGAGCAUGUGCAUGCAGCUCAAAUGAGGAUAACAAUCACCAAAUGAUCUGUGUGAAUCCCAAUUUGCAUGUGUCAAUUAUUCUCCUGGGCAAAAGUCACUCAGUGACUACUCAGUGGACUCGAGAGAUGGAAGAACAACCAAAGUGGAAACAGGCAGGACGUGCCAAGGGACUGCUUCAGCAUGUGCUCAUCUGGAAAUCAUAGAAUCGUUUGAGUUGGAAGGGACCAUUAAAGGCCAUCUAGCCCAACUCCCCUGCAAUGAACAUGGACACCUACAGCUCCAUCAGGUGCUCAGAGCCUACCUUGUUUUUCAAACCUCUGUUCCUCUGACAGUGGAAGCAAAACUCAGGAUCAAACUGAUGGAAGAUGCAAUUGGAAUACACACAAUUAGUGUAGGCCCUACAGAAUAGCAUCUGCAAGCUAAGGCUGUGCAGCCCGUUACCGAACAGUACACAAUGUGAGUGUUAUGUUAGCUGAAAAAAAUCCCAAAUCUAACAGGACUGAAUGCAUCUAAUGUCCUGCUCUUUCCCCAUCAGUGAGCAUUUCUUAGUGCCUUAUUUUUUUUUAUACUCAUCCACGGGCUGGAAAGCAAAAGGAGAAGAGGGCUGGGCUGUGGAGCAGGAGUUACAAAAAUGCACAGACUGCACCCUGGUAUUUCUAGAACUGUUGUCACUACAAUUAUCCAUGAGAGGUUUUAUCCUGAACUUGCAGAAGUGGAACUAAAGCCCGGGGAGGAGUAAAACCAGGCUUCGGGCAGUCAGGAGCAGAACUCUGAGUCUCCGGAGCCAGUUUUGCCCGGCUGUGAUCAGAGACAUUGCAUGGGGCUGAGAGGCUUGGGAGAAGGAUAAAAGAUGGGAAGUAGCUGCUCUGCACUGAGGAACUCACCCCAAGUCUUAUAGAGUGCUGCCAUUGCUGCAUCCAUCACAGCCAAGGAAAGCUGCAACGAAUGAGGAAUUCACAGAAUCAUAGAAUUGUUUGAGUUGCAAAGGACCCUUAAAGGCCAUCUGGUACAAUCCCCUGCAAUGACCAGGGACACCUACAGCUUGAUCAGGUGCUCAGAGCCCCUCCAGCCUGACCUUGAGUGUCUCCAAGGGCAGGGCAUCCACCACCUUUCUGGCCAACAUGUGCCAGUGCUUCACUACCCUUACUGUAAAAAACUUCUUCCUUAUAUCCAAUCUAAAUUAAUUAAGCAGCUGGGAUUGCAAAGGACACAACACAAGCAUGUUUUAACACGGGUGCUGACUGCAUGCAUGUAUCCGCUUUUCUGGAGAAAUGUAUGAAAUGUAUACAAAAGGCUCUCAUGCUACAAAACAUCAUCUCUCCUGGCUGAUCAUGGGUGGGCUGCCUGCAAGCGCAGCAGACAUGCUGCACACAACACGACUGGAGCCAGCCGUGGGUGGGCACUGCUCUGAGGUGCUGGGCAAGAGAAAACAUACACAUCAAGGCACUGCAUUGUAGUGCUUCCCACUUGCUUUUGAGUUUGUGGGAAAAACAACAUGUCUGGCCCACCAGGGCUGCCAGCUGUGCAGGGAGGGCUGCAAGGCAAGGGGCUGCUCUCAGCCGCAACUCUGAAGUAUUCCUGGGAAUGGGAUGGCCCCUUGCUCUCUGACUGGAAAAAUCAAAGCUCGCAGCUUGGGGCAGUGUGCUUAGUGAUGACAUCAGUAGAGAUGCAAAGGGAUAUUUUUUACCCCCUAGAGAAGGUGGAGAGGAGAAAUAAAGGCCAGAUCCUUAAAAAAAAAAAAAAAAGAAGAAGAAGAAGCAGAAGCAGCAGCAAAACCCCUCAAAUGUGAAUCUUUCUGCCCCCCUCACUCUCAGUUCCUAGCUGGCAUAGCUCGUUCUCUGCCAUGUGGGAGGAUUUAGCAUCUAUUGACAGAUGAGCUAAUCAGUUCCCCUCAGCUCUUGAAGCUUUAUCAAAGCCAGUUAAUCAUAUUACUGAUGUCUGCCCAUGCCAAGGCUCUCCUCUUCUGUCCUCCGACAACAAGGUGACACACGCACAUGCCACAUGCACAGAGAGAUCACUUUUUCCACUCCCAAUCACACCAACAAGAGGAUGUCAGCAGGGCUGCAGUGCCAGCACAUGGCGGCUGCCUGUCUCUCUUUCACCCUCCCUGGCCACUCCUUGUUGCUGUAGAUCUGUGGUAGCUCACGACAGAGCAGACCAAGCUCACGUCUUGUCAGCACAGGGAUGGCAGCAGUGGGAAGAACUGGUCUGGGUUUCGGCUGUGCUGUCCUGGAAGGAUGCUGACACCAAUCCGAACCCAGACCAGGGUGUGCUGCCCAUACCUCUCUCCCUGAGGCCUGGUUAGUGUUACUUCCCUAUUCCAAUUUCGUCAACUGCGAUACAAACUGUACUGCUCUUCCUGAGGGCUGACCUGGGGACUGUGCUCCUUUCCUCAGGAAUGGCUCUACUCACGCUAGCACUAAGCCACCAAGCCAAGAGUACUGCCCUGUCCUAUUUUUGUUUUCUUUUGGGAAACUCAUUCUGUAUUUAUGCCAAUAAUGGAAGAAACCAGGCACGAGGGACCCUCUGGAAUGCUCUUCCUGGCAAGAUCAUUUGAAUUCACGUCAUUCGUUGGCCUGUGCUUGGGUGGAAAUUGAUCAGGAGCGUGUUUGGAGAUGGCUGGCAUUCACUUGACUGUUUUGGUAACUACCACUGUUUCAUGGCCUGGCUGGUGAGUGCCCACAGGUAUUGCCAGCCAUCUCCCCCUGCCCAGGCUGCCCUGGAGACAGAGACCUUGCCCUGAACCCACCACCCUCCCACAGCUCCCUGUACAGCCAUGCACAUGGAAAGAGCGUGGUGCUGGCUGCAAGGUGCAAACAAGACCCUGCUGUGGUAAAACACAGGGCAGUCCCUGUAUCAGUUAUUCCAGAAAGGUAGGAGUUUCCUCCCCAGUGUUAAUCAAUACUUGCCAGCCUCCCCUAGACCUCCCUGCCCUCUUCUCGCUUUGAAGAGAGAUUUGUUUCUCUCUGGGCUUGCUGCAGGUUCCUCUGCCAGCCCAGCCAAGGAGAUUCUCCAGGGCUGCAGAGACUGGCAGAGAGCACUGUGUAAAAGGCAUUGAAAAAGCAAAGAAGGGGAAAAGCAGAGGAGGUUCAAUCCAGGAACAGAGCUCUCCACACCAUCUCCCGCUCCUCUCUGCAGGUGAGUGGGCGGUUGGCAACCCCGGCCAUGCGCCAUGAGAUACGUUCACCCACCUAUACAGACAAUGUCCAUGAAGCCAUACAUUCCAUAGCAGAUCUGGAAGAGCAGGUCCUGGCGCUGCCACUUGGCUGAAGGACUGAAGGUCGACCAGAUGAGCCACGAGAUACUGGCGAUGAGGAAGAGGGAACCCAGGAUGGCCGCUGCUAUCUGAACCUUCUCAAUGACUGUCAGGGAGAUGGCCUGCCACUGCAAGGGACAGCAACAGGGAGAGGAGGGGAGACAAGGGAAGGGAGGAGGGAAAAA